rnacentral:rRNA from 1 species
AGAGUUUGAUCCUGGCUCAGGACGAACGCUGGCGGCGUGCUUAACACAUGCAAGUCAAGGGGGCCCGCAAGGGCAACCGGCGAACGGGUGCGUAACACGUGAGCAACCUACCGAGAUGUGGGGGAUAGCCGGCCCAACGGCCGGGUAAUACCGCAUACGAUUGCUUGGGGGAGUCCCCGGGCAAGGAAACCCGCAAGGGGCAUUUCGAGGGGCUCGCGGCCUAUCAGCUAGUUGGCGGGGUAAUGGCCCACCAAGGCGACGACGGGUAGCUGGUCUGAGAGGAUGGCCAGCCACAUUGGGACUGAGAAACGGCCCAGACUCCUACGGGAGGCAGCAGUGGGGAAUCUUGCGCAAUGGCCGAGAGACUGACGCAGCGACGCCGCGUGUGGGAGGACGCCCUUCGGGGUGUAAACCACUGUUGCCCGGGACGAACAUCCACUUUCGAGUGGACUGACGGUUCCGGGUGAGGAAGCACCGGCUAACUCCGUGCCAGCAGCCGCGGUAAU